rnacentral:lncRNA from 1 species
CAAAGUAACAGGCACGGUGAUUGGAGGAGAGCUGAGGCAGCUGUUGUCGCGGCAACCGUGCGUCCGCAUUCCCGGUGCUGCCGAGGGCCGGGGAUGCAGCGGCCGGAACGGGCGGGUACCGGCAGGUAAGGGCGGGUACAGACCGCACACCUGACCUGGGCAGGAUCGGGGUCUCCCCGGUGAUUCCCGCCGUUCCCAGCGUGCCCCGCGCCGCCUCAUCUGGGCGGGGCUGGGCCGUGAGGCGACUUCCGGUGGCGCCCUCACCUCAGGGCAUCGCUUCAUCCCUCACCACAUCCCUCACCUCGGCUCCUCUCGCCCCCGAGCCCCGGCUUCUCUUAAUGCAGACAGCAAAUGACUGACCUGGGCCAGCUCUGGAGCCUCGUUCAGAGCUGUGACUGAGCUUAGAAACAAAAUCGCGGCUCUGCCCCGAGUCGCGACACUGGAUUCUGUGACCGAAUUCCAGCUCAGUGAUGCUGUGGAGCACGAGGUACCUCAAGCAGAACGGCAGCACUCGGUGCCACGUCCCGAAAAUAACCAGCACUUAGCAGAGUCUCAAGACUUCUCCAGUCCUUAUAAACACCACAGGAAAGUGAUCUCAAACUGGGAAAUAAAAAAAAAAAAAAAAAAAAGUCUGGGGGGGGGGGGGGGGGGGGGGGGGGGGGGGGGGGGGGGGGGGGGGGGGGGGGGGGGGGGGGGGGGGGGGGGGGGGGGGGGGGGGG